UACGGAGGGUGCGAGCGUUGUCCGGAAUCAUUGGGCGUAAAGGGCGCGUAGGUGGCCCGGUCAGUUCGUGGUGAAAGCGCGGGGCUCAACCCUGCGUCGGCCAUGAAUACUGCCGCGGCUGGAGCACUGUAGAGGCAGGCGGAAUUCCGGGUGUAGCGGUGGAAUGCGUAGAGAUCCGGAAGAACACCGGUGGCAAAGGCGGCCUGCUGGGCAGUUGCUGACACUGAGGCGCGACAGCGUGGGGAGCAAACAGG
rnacentral:rRNA from 1 species